rnacentral:rRNA from 1 species
GAUUAAGUUAUUAAGGGCGCACGGUGGAUGCCUUGGCACUAGAAGCCGAUGAAGGACGUUACUAACGACGAUAUGCUUUGGGGAGCUGUAAGUAAGCUUUGAUCCAGAGAUUUCCGAAUGGGGAAACCCAGCAUGAGUUAUGUCAUGUUAUCGAUAUGUGAAUACAUAGCAUAUCAGAAGGCACACCCGGAGAACUGAAACAUCUUAGUACCCGGAGGAAGAGAAAGAAAAUUCGAUUCCCUUAGUAGCGGCGAGCGAAACGGGAAGAGCCCAAACCAACAAGCUUGCUUGUUGGGGUUGUAGGACACUCUAUACGGAGUUACAAAGGACGACAUUAGACGAAUCAUCUGGAAAGAUGAAUCAAAGAAGGUAAUAAUCCUGUAGUCGAAAAUGUUGUCUCUCUUGAGUGGAUCCUGAGUACGACGGAGCACGUGAAAUUCCGUCGGAAUCUGGGAGGACCAUCUCCUAAGGCUAAAUACUCUCUAGUGACCGAUAGUGAACCAGUACCGUGAGGGAAAGGUGAAAAGCACCCCGGAAGGGGAGUGAAAUAGAACCUGAAACCGUGUGCUUACAAGUAGUCAGAGCCCGUUAAUGGGUGAUGGCGUGCCUUUUGUAGAAUGAACCGGCGAGUUACGAUUUGAUGCAAGGUUAAGCAGUAAAUGUGGAGCCGUAGCGAAAGCGAGUCUGAAUAGGGCGUUUAGUAUUUGGUCGUAGACCCGAAACCAGGUGAUCUACCCUUGGUCAGGUUGAAGUUCAGGUAACACUGAAUGGAGGACCGAACCGACUUACGUUGAAAAGUGAGCGGAUGAACUGAGGGUAGCGGAGAAAUUCCAAUCGAACCUGGAGAUAGCUGGUUCUCUCCGAAAUAGCUUUAGGGCUAGCCUCAAGUGAUGAUUAUUGGAGGUAGAGCACUGUUUGGACGAGGGGCCCCUCUCGGGUUACCGAAUUCAGACAAACUCCGAAUGCCAAUUAAUUUAACUUGGGAGUCAGAACAUGGGUGAUAAGGUCCGUGUUCGAAAGGGAAACAGCCCAGACCACCAGCUAAGGUCCCAAAAUAUAUGUUAAGUGGAAAAGGAUGUGGCGUUGCCCAGACAACUAGGAUGUUGGCUUAGAAGCAGCCAUCAUUUAAAGAGUGCGUAAUAGCUCACUAGUCGAGUGACACUGCGCCGAAAAUGUACCGGGGCUAAACAUAUUACCGAAGCUGUGGAUUGUCCUUUGGACAAUGGUAGGAGAGCGUUCUAAGGGCGUUGAAGCAUGAUCGCAAGGACAUGUGGAGCGCUUAGAAGUGAGAAUGCCGGUGUGAGUAGCGAAAGACGGGUGAGAAUCCCGUCCACCGAUUGACUAAGGUUUCCAGAGGAAGGCUCGUCCGCUCUGGGUUAGUCGGGUCCUAAGCUGAGGCCGACAGGCGUAGGCGAUGGAUAACAGGUUGAUAUUCCUGUACCACCUAUAAUCGUUUUAAUCGAUGGGGGGACGCAGUAGGAUAGGCGAAGCGUGCGAUUGGAUUGCACGUCUAAGCAGUAAGGCUGAGUAUUAGGCAAAUCCGGUACUCGUUAAGGCUGAGCUGUGAUGGGGAGAAGACAUUGUGUCUUCGAGUCGUUGAUUUCACACUGCCGAGAAAAGCCUCUAGAUAGAAAAUAGGUGCCCGUACCGCAAACCGACACAGGUAGUCAAGAUGAGAAUUCUAAGGUGAGCGAGCGAACUCUCGUUAAGGAACUCGGCAAAAUGACCCCGUAACUUCGGGAGAAGGGGUGCUCUUUAGGGUUAACGCCCAGAAGAGCCGCAGUGAAUAGGCCCAAGCGACUGUUUAUCAAAAACACAGGUCUCUGCUAAACCGUAAGGUGAUGUAUAGGGGCUGACGCCUGCCCGGUGCUGGAAGGUUAAGAGGAGUGGUUAGCUUCUGCGAAGCUACGAAUCGAAGCCCCAGUAAACGGCGGCCGUAACUAUAACGGUCCUAAGGUAGCGAAAUUCCUUGUCGGGUAAGUUCCGACCCGCACGAAAGGCGUAACGAUUUGGGCACUGUCUCAACGAGAGACUCGGUGAAAUCAUAGUACCUGUGAAGAUGCAGGUUACCCGCGACAGGACGGAAAGACCCCGUGGAGCUUUACUGUAGCCUGAUAUUGAAAUUCGGCACAGCUUGUACAGGAUAGGUAGGAGCCUUUGAAACGUGAGCGCUAGCUUACGUGGAGGCGCUGGUGGGAUACUACCCUAGCUGUGUUGGCUUUCUAACCCGCACCACUUAUCGUGGUGGGAGACAGUGUCAGGCGGGCAGUUUGACUGGGGCGGUCGCCUCCUAAAAGGUAACGGAGGCGCUCAAAGGUUCCCUCAGAAUGGUUGGAAAUCAUUCAUAGAGUGUAAAGGCAUAAGGGAGCUUGACUGCGAGACCUACAAGUCGAGCAGGGUCGAAAGACGGACUUAGUGAUCCGGUGGUUCCGCAUGGAAGGGCCAUCGCUCAACGGAUAAAAGCUACCCCGGGGAUAACAGGCUUAUCUCCCCCAAGAGUUCACAUCGACGGGGAGGUUUGGCACCUCGAUGUCGGCUCAUCGCAUCCUGGGGCUGUAGUCGGUCCCAAGGGUUGGGCUGUUCGCCCAUUAAAGCGGUACGCGAGCUGGGUUCAGAACGUCGUGAGACAGUUCGGUCCCUAUCCGUCGUGGGCGUAGGAAAUUUGAGAGGAGCUGUCCUUAGUACGAGAGGACCGGGAUGGACAUACCUCUGGUGUACCAGUUGUCGUGCCAACGGCAUAGCUGGGUAGCUAUGUAUGGACGGGAUAAGUGCUGAAAGCAUCUAAGCAUGAAGCCCCCCUCAAGAUGAGAUUUCCCAACUUCGGUUAUAAGAUCCCUCAAAGAUGAUGAGGUUAAUAGGUUCGAGGUGGAAGCAUGGUGACAUGUGGAGCUGACGAAUACUAAUCGAUCGAAGACUUAAUCAA